rnacentral:rRNA from 1 species
UACGUAGGGUGCAAGCGUUAAUCGGAAUUACUGGGCGUAAAGCGUGCGCAGGCGGCUUUGCAAGACAGAUGUGAAAUCCCCGGGCUUAACCUGGGAAUGGCGAUGGAGACUGCAAGGCUAGAGUUUGGCAGAGGGGGGUAGAAUUCCACGUGUAGCAGUGAAAUGCGUAGAGAUGUGGAGGAACACCGAUGGCGAAGGCAGCCCCCUGGGUCAAAACUGACGCUCAUGCACGAAAGCGUGGGGAGCAAACAGG